rnacentral:misc_RNA from 1 species
ACACAAUGAAGAUACAUGAUACAUGACUUAUUCAAACCUUUCUAAACUAACAACAUGCAAGAAAAACAUUAGGAUGUUUCCGAAAGAACUUUGUGAACAAUUUCACGAGCUUUGCAUCUAGCCAUGAGUGGCUCAGCUUUUGGCAUAGUGAGACCUUUUCCUUCUGUCAAAUCGACCUUCUCAUCGCUUACCCUUUUCCAUUCAAAACACUGCACUAAAGUUCCUAAAGCUAAACCAACCACACGUUGAGCAAGUCCGGAGCCAGGGCAAGCUCUCCUUCCCAUUCCAAAAGGCAAUAACUUCCAUGAUUCCACUUCCACACCAUAAAACCUUUCUGGCUUGAAGCUCUCUGGAUCCUCCCAAAGUAAAGGAUCCCUGUGGAUGGACCAAGCAUUCACCAGUAGCAUCGUGCCUCGUGGAAUGUGGAAGCCAGCGACCUUGCAAUCCUCAGAUGACUCAUGAGGCACUAGCAAUGGUGCUGCUGGGAACAAUCGUAGUGUCUCGGAGAUAAUACUUUGAAGGUAUUUCAGCUUGGGUAAAUCCGCUUCAUCCAUCAAACGAUCCUUACCCACAUGGUUGUCUAUUUCAUUUCUGGCCUUCUCCAACACCUCUGGAUGGUUCAGUAGAAGAGACAUCGCCCAUUCUAUUGUCACAGAUGAUGUUUCAGUCCCCG